AGCCGCCGCGGUAACACCGGCGGCCCGAGUGGUGAUCGUGAUUAUUGGGUCUAAAGGGUCCGUAGCCGGUUUGGUCAGUCCUCCGGGAAAUCUGAUAGCUCAACUAUUAGGCUUUCGGGGGAUACUGCCAGACUUGGAACCGGGAGAGGUAAGAGGUACUACAGGGGUAGGAGUGAAAUCUUGUAAUCCCUGUGGGACCACCUGUGGCGAAGGCGUCUUACCAGAACGGGUUCGACGGUGAGGGACGAAAGCUGGGGGCACGAACCGGAUUAGAUACCCGGGUAGUCCCAGCCGUAAACGAUGCUCGCUAGGUGUCAGGCAUGGCGCGACCGUGUCUGGUGCCGCAGGGAAGCCGUGAAGCGAGCCACCUGGGAAGUACGGCCGCAAGGCUGAAACUUAAAGGAAUUGGCGGGGGAGCACAACAACGGGUGGAAGCCUGCGGUUUAAUUGGACUCAACGCCGGACAACUCACCGGGGGCGACAGCAAUAUGUAGGCCAAGCUCGAAGACUUUGCCUGAAUCGCUGAGGGGAGGUGCAUGG
rnacentral:rRNA from 1 species